AACGAACGCUGGCGGCAGGCUUAACACAUGCAAGUCGAGCGCGUAGCAAUACGAGCGGCAGACGGGUGAGUAACGCGUGGGAAUCUACCCUUUUCUACGGAACAACUGAGGGAAACUUCAGCUAAUACCGUAUACGUCCUAACGGAGAAAGAUUUAUCGGAGAAGGAUGAGCCCGCGUUGGAUUAGCUAGUUGGUGGGGUAAAGGCCUACCAAGGCGACGAUCCAUAGCUGGUCUGAGAGGAUGAUCAGCCACACUGGGACUGAGACACGGCCCAGACUCCUACGGGAGGCAGCAGUGGGGAAUAUUGGACAAUGGGCGCAAGCCUGAUCCAGCCAUGCCGCGUGAGUGAUGAAGGUCUUAGGAUUGUAAAGCUCUUUCAGCAGGGAAGAUAAUGACGGUACCUGCAGAAGAAGCCCCGGCAAACUUCGUGCCAGCCGCCGCCGUAACAC
rnacentral:rRNA from 1 species